rnacentral:snRNA from 1 species
GGAUGUGAGGGCAAUCUGGCUGCGACAACUGUCACGCCUUUGAUUUCCAGAGUUGAUAUGGCUGAUCUGGCUGGCUAGGCUGGUGUCCCCUUCCUCCCUUAACACUCUAUGUGAGUCCCUCCUGAAACUGUACGCUUGAGGACCAUUUCCUCGGUCAAGAAUAUAAGUUGCCUGCCUCCCCUGCUAGAACUUUCAAACAAGCUCUCAAGGAAGCUGAGGCAGGAGGACUGCAACAAGGCCAGCCUGAGCUACAUAUGAGGCCCCGUCUCAAAAAAAUAU